rnacentral:rRNA from 1 species
GCUGGCGGCGUGCCUCAGACAUGCAAGUCGAACGAGAAAGUUCCCUUCGGGGAGCGAGUAAAGUGGCGCACGGGUGAGUAACACGUAGGUAAUCUACCUUCGGGUGGGGAAUAACCCAGGGAAACUUGGGCUAACACCGCAUAAUGCACGCGGCACCACAUGGUGACAGUUGUUAAAGCGGGGGCUUUUAGGACCUCGCGCCUGAAGAGGAGCCUGCGGCGGAUUAGCUUGUUGGUAAGGUAACGGCUUACCAAGGCGACGAUCCGUAGCCGGCCUGAGAGGGCGGUCGGCCACACUGACACUGACAUACGGGUCAKACUCCUACGGGAGGCAGCAGUCGGGAAUUUUGGGCAAUGGGCGAAAGCCUGACCCAGCAACGCCGCGUGAAGGAUGAAAUCCCUCGGGAUGUAAACUUCGCAAGAAUGGGAAGAAUAAGUAGGGGACAAUACCCCCUAUGAUGACGGUACCAUUUGUAAGCUCCGGCUAACUCCGUGCCAGCAGCCGCGGUAAUACGGKGGGAGCAAGCGUUGUUCGGAUUUACUGGGCGUAAAGGGCGCGUAWGCGGCCAGCACAAGUCGGUUGUGAAAUCUCCGGGCUUAACUCGGAAAGGUCAACCGAUACUGUGCGGCUAGAGUGCGGAAGGGGCAACUGGAAUUCUCGGUGUAGCGGUGAAAUGCGUAGAUAUCGAGAGGAACACCUGCGGCGAAGGCGGGUUGCUGGGCCGACACUGACGCUGAGGCGCGAAAGCCAGGGGAGCGAACGGGAUUAGAUACCCCGGUAGUCCUGGCCUUAAACGAUGGAUGCUUGGUGUCUGGGGUUUUAUAGUCCCCGGGUGCCGUAGCUAACGCGUUAAGCAUCCCGCCUGGGGAGUACGGUCGCAAGACUGAAACUCAAAGGAAUUGACGGGGACCCGCACAAGCGGUGGAGCAUGUGGUUCAAUUCGACGCAACGCGAAGAACCUUACCUGGGCUAGAAUGCCUCUGACAACUCCAGAGAUGGAGCCUCUUAGGGAAACCUAGGCAGAGUGCAAGGUGCUGCAUGGCUGUCGUCAGCUCGUGUCGUGAGAUGUUGGGUUAAGUCCCGCAACGAGCGCAACCCUUAUCUUUAGUUGCUAGCGGUUCGGCCGAGCACUCUAGAGAAGACUGCCGUUGACAAAACGGAGGGAAGGUGGGGAUGACGUCAAGUCCUCAUGGCCUUUAUGUCCAGGGCUACACACGUGCUACAAUGGCCGGUACAAAGCGCUGCAAACUCGCAAGAGGGAGCCAAUCGCCAAAAGCCGGUCUCAG